rnacentral:rRNA from 1 species
UGCAGUCGAGCGGCAGCACGGGGAGCUUGCUCCCUGGUGGCGAGCGGCGGACGGGUGAGUAAUGCAUAGGAAUCUGCCCGGUAGUGGGGGAUAACGUGGGGAAACCCACGCUAAUACCGCAUACGUCCUACGGGAGAAAGCGGAGGAUCUUCGGACUUCGCGCUAUCGGAUGAGCCUAUGUCGGAUUAGCUAGCUGGUGAGGUAACGGCUCACCAGGGCGACGAUCCGUAGCUGGUCUGAGAGGAUGAUCAGCCACACUGGGACUGAGACACGGCCCAGACUCCUACGGGAGGCAGCAGUGGGGAAUAUUGGACAAUGGGCGAAAGCCUGAUCCAGCCAUGCCGCGUGUGUGAAGAAGGCUUUCGGGUUGUAAAGCACUUUCAGCGAGGAAGAAAGCCUUUGGGUUAAUACCCCCAAGGAAAGACAUCACUCGCAGAAGAAGCACCGGCUAACUCCGUGCCAGCAGCCGCGGUAAUACGGAGGGUGCGAGCGUUAAUCGGAAUUACUGGGCGUAAAGCGCGCGUAGGUGGCUUGGCACGCCGGUUGUGAAAGCCCCGGGCUCAACCUGGGAACGGCAUCCGGAACGGCCAAGCUAGAGUGCAGGAGAGGAAGGUAGAAUUCCCGGUGUAGCGGUGAAAUGCGUAGAGAUCGGGAGGAAUACCAGUGGCGAAGGCGGCCUUCUGGCCUGACACUGACACUGAGGUGCGAAAGCGUGGGUAGCAAACAGGAUUAGAUACCCUGGUAGUCCACGCCGUAAACGAUGUCGACUAGCCGUUGGGACCUUUAAGGACUUAGUGGCGCAGUUAACGCGAUAAGUCGACCGCCUGGGGAGUACGGCCGCAAGGUUAAAACUCAAAUGAAUUGACGGGGGCCCGCACAAGCGGUGGAGCAUGUGGUUUAAUUCGAUGCAACGCGAAGAA